CAGCCGGGGCUGUGCUGGGGCAGGAGGCCGAGCUCAGCAGCUGCGUGGAGGAUGUGUUCAAGGUGUAUGUGGCUGGGAACGACAGCUCUAGCCUGCUGCUGGGAUCCUUACAGCCAGUCCUAGGAGUGAUUUUUGCUCUCUAUUCCUUCACCAAGCAGAAUGUGUCCUACUUACGCUCGCCGUGCCAGGAGAUCCUGCUGUGGUUCUUGGAGAAGGCGGAGCG